rnacentral:rRNA from 1 species
CACAUUCACCACCUACCUG